rnacentral:ncRNA from 1 species
CUCUACCUUCUAAGUCAGAUGUUGUAUACCUACCGGGUAUACUUCCAGUACAGAGGUGUAAAGGAUUCCGUUUCCUUGCUGUAUAGCAAAAAGUAAAUCAUGUGACUGCCGGCGGUAGAGAAAAUUCGAGGCUCGCAAUGCACAU